rnacentral:sRNA from 1 species
UGACUAUGACCUUUCCUUCCGUCUUGGU